rnacentral:lncRNA from 1 species
UUUACUGAAUGAUUCCUAGAUGCCUGGCCCUAAUUCACUCGAGAGUCAAGAAAGGUGCCACCUUAUGGUGCUCACUGGGCGGUUGUGGAUGUCUAACCUCAGUGCUAGUCACACAGAACCUGAAGCCAGGCUGGCUGCUCCUGUAAAUGCAUGGAAUCCCAGGGAAUAUCCUGCAUUCUCAGUGUCCAGCUGUCUGAUGCCACAGUUGUUUAUGAUGAUCGAGGACAACUACGUUUUUCUGAGGAGACUUACCACCUCAUGGCUGAGGUAAGCUGGAUUCUAUAGAACAUUGAUUCUAUU